AUACGUAGGUGGCAAGCGUUGUCCGGAAUUACUGGGUGUAAAGGGCGUGUAGGCGGGGGAGCAAGUCAGAUGUGAAAUUCCUAGGCUUAACCUGGGCGCUGCAUCUGAAACUGUUUCUCUUGAGUGCUGGAGAGGAAAGUGGAAUUCCUAGUGUAGCGGUGAAAUGCGUAGAGAUUAGGAGGAACACCAGUGGCGAAGGCGGCUUUCUGGACAGUAACUGACGCUGAGGCGCGAAAGCGUGGGGAGCAAACAGGAUUAGAUACCCUGGUAGUCCACGCUGUAAACGAUGGAUACUAGGUGUGGGAGGUAUCGACCCCUUCCGUGCCGGAGUUAACACAAUAAGUAUCCCACCUGGGGAGUACGGCCGCAAGGCUGAA
rnacentral:rRNA from 1 species